GUUUAACAAAUGUUUCUUUUUAAUAGUGUCACUCAGUAUGCCUUAGUACUAUUGUGUUCUACUGUAACAUGCAAAGUACAUGACAUUCCUUACUUCAGCAUCUGGAUCAGUUCAUGUUUAACCACAGACUAAUUGAUAUACACUACUGGAACCCAAUGAUAUGUUGUAAUAGAAAUUAUAAGAGACAAUUAAUUAAUAACAACUACUACAUUUAGACUGCUAUUAUAAUCAGAUUGCUACCUUCUAAAUGUAAUGCAAAUGUUUGCUGAUAAAGUGAAUCAAAACAUGAUGGCGAAGUUUACAUGACAAUAGAAACAAAAUCUCUGUUCUUUUAAGAGAUUAGUUCAAUGGUGAACUAAAGCAAAAAAAAAAA